rnacentral:rRNA from 1 species
AUUGAACGCUGGCGGCAGGCCUAACACAUGCAAGUCGAACGAGGGGCGGACGGGUGAGUAAUGUCUGGGAAAAUGCCUGGUGGAGGGGGAUAACUACUGGAAACGGUAGCUAAUACCGCAAAACAUCAUAUGUACCCAGGUGGGAUUUGCUAGUGGGUGGGGUAACGGCUCACCAAGGAGACGAUCCCUAGCUGGUCUGAGAGGAUGACCAGCCCGACUGGAACUGAGACACGGUCCAGACUCCUACGGGAGGCAGCAGUGGGGAAUAUUGCACAAUGGGCGCAAGCCUGAUGCAGCCAUGCCGCGUGUAUGAAGAAGGCCUUCGGGUGGUAAAGUACUUUCAGCGGGGAGGCGUUACCCGCAGAAGAAGCACCGGCUAACUCCGUGCCAGCAGCCGCGGUAAUUC